rnacentral:rRNA from 1 species
GUGCCUAAUACAUGCAAGUCGAGCGAACGGACGAGAAGCUUGCUUCUCUGAUGUUAGCGGCGGACGGGUGAGUAACACGUGGAUAACCUACCUAUAAGACUGGGAUAACUUCGGGAAACCGGAGCUAAUACCGGAUAAUAUUUUGAACCGCAUGGUUCAAAAGUGAAAGACGGUCUUGCUGUCACUUAUAGAUGGAUCCGCGCUGCAUUAGCUAGUUGGUAAGGUAACGGCUUACCAAGGCAACGAUGCAUAGCCGACCUGAGAGGGUGAUCGGCCACACUGGAACUGAGACACGGUCCAGACUCCUACGGGAGGCAGCAGUAGGGAAUCUUCCGCAAUGGGCGAAAGCCUGACCCGCGUGAGUGAUGAAGGUCUUCGGAUCGUAAAACUCUGUUAUUAGGGAAGAAYAUAUGUGUAAGUAACUGUGCACAUCUUGACGGUACCUAAUCAGAAAGCCACGGCUAACUACGUGCCAGCAGCCGCGGUAAUACGUAGGUGGCAAGCGUUAUCCGGAAUUAUUGGGCGUAAAGCGCGCGUAGGCGGUUUUUUAAGUCUGAUGUGAAAGCCCACGGCUCAACCGUGGAGGGUCAUUGGAAACUGGAAAACUUGAGUGCAGAAGAGGAAAGUGGAAUUCCAUGUGUAGCGGUGAAAUGCGCAGAGAUAUGGAGGAACACCAGUGGCGAAGGCGRCUUUCUGGUCUGUAACUGACGCUGAUGUGCGAAAGCGUGGGGAUCAAACAGGAUUAGAUACCCUGGUAGUCCACGCCGUAAACGAUGAGUGCUAAGUGUUAGGGGGUUUCCGCCCCUUAGUGCUGCAGCUAACGCAUUAAGCACUCCGCCUGGGGAGUACGACCGCAAGGUUGAAACUCAAAGGAAUUGACGGGGACCCGCACAAGCGGUGGAGCAUGUGGUUUAAUUCGAAGCAACGCGAAGAACCUUACCAAAUCUUGACAUCCUUUGACAACUCUAGAGAUAGAGCYUUCCCCUUCGGGGGACAAAGUGACAGGUGGUGCAUGGUUGUCGUCAGCUCGUGUCGUGAGAUGUUGGGUUAAGUCCCGCAACGAGCGCAACCCUUAAGCUUAGUUGCCAUCAUUAAGUUGGGCACUCUAAGUUGACUGCCGGUGACAAACCGGAGGAAGGUGGGGAUGACGUCAAAUCAUCAUGCCCCUUAUGAUUUGGGCUACACACGUGCUACAAUGGACAAUACAAAGGGCAGYGAAACCGYGAGGUCAAGCAAAUCCCAUAAAGUUGUUCUCAGUUCGGAUUGUAGUCUGCAACUCGACUACAUGAAGCUGGAAUCGCUAGUAAUCGUAGAUCAGCAUGCUACGGU